rnacentral:rRNA from 1 species
CAGUCGCCGCGGGAAUACGUAGGGUGCGAGCGUUAAUCGGAAUUACUGGGCGUAAAGCGCACGUAGGCGGAUAUUUAAGUCAGGGGUGAAAUCCCAGAGCUCAACUCUGGAACUGCCUUUGAUACUGGGUAUCUUGAGUAUGGAAGAGGUGAGUGGAAUUCCGAGUGUAGAGGUGAAAUUCGUAGAUAUUCGGAGGAACACCAGUGGCGAAGGCGGCUCACUGGUCCAUUACUGACGCUGAGGUGCGAAAGCGUGGGGAGCAAACAGGAUUAGAUACCCCCGUAGUCCCUGUCUCUUAUAC